GACCAGACUCCUACGGGAGGCAGCAGUGGGGGAUAUUGCACAAUGGGGGAAACCCUGAUGCAGCGACGCCGCGUGAGGGAAGACGGUCUUCGGAUUGUAAACCUCUGUCUUCGGGGACGAAACUGACGGUACCCGAGGAGGAAGCCACGGCUAACUACGUGCCAGCAGCCGCGGUAAUACGUAGGUGGCGAGCGUUGUCCGGAAUUACUGGGUGUAAAGGGAGCGUAGGCGGGAGAGCAAGUCGACUGUGAAAUCUAUGGGCUUAACCCAUAGCUGCGAUCGAAACUGUUCAUCUUGAGUGAAGUAGAGGCAGGCGGAAUUCCUAGUGUAGCGGUGAAAUGCGUAAAUAUUAGGAGGAACACCAGUGGCGAAGGCGGCCUGCUGGGCUUUAACUGACGCUGAGGCUCGAAAGCGUGGGUAGCAAACAGGAUUAGAUACCCGCGUACC
rnacentral:rRNA from 1 species